GUGACCUCAAAUCAGGUAGGAUUACCCGCUGAACUUAAGCAUAUCAAUAAGCGGAGGAAAAGAAACUAACAAGGAUUCCCCUAGUAACUGCGAGUGAAGCGGGAAAAGCUCAAAUUUAAAAUCUGGCAGUCUUUGGCUGUCCGAGUUGUAAUCUAGAGAAGUGCUAUCCGCGCUGGACCGUGUACAAGUCUCCUGGAAUGGAGCGUCAUAAGAGG
rnacentral:rRNA from 1 species